CUGGAGCCGCAAUGGAAAUCAAUGCGAGGGGCUAGAUGUGAGACUGCAUUUAAUUCAGCAGGACUUGAUUCCGUGCAGACUUGGCUCGGAUUGAGCUUGCUGCGUGUUGCGUCUGACUCAGAUAUCAUUUAAUGUCUUGAGGGUGUGGAAAAUGAGUUGGCUUUUUCCCUUUUUAAAAUUUUUUUGAACAUUUAAAAGUGCAAGCGAGUCAGCCGAACAGGUUUCUGUUUGCGGCGGAGUCCUAGACCCUGGCUGGAGGCAAUUUCACAAUAGGCGGGCCUCACUUCAGCCUGCGAAGCUGUUUUGAAUGUGGGAGUUUUGGACUGAACUACAUGGCAGGGUUGUCAUAAACGGUUCCACUCUCAGCCAGACACAGCUGCAUGGAGAACAGGGCUAUCAAUGUCUACUAGCCACGAAAGCUACGUUCCACCACCACUGUCGGAGGCAGUACAUCUCUGAAUACCAACUGCUGGGCAUCACAAGUGGAGGGAGUAUUGCUCUUGCGUUCAGGUCCUGCUCGUGGGCUUCCCACGAGGCCAUCUGGCUGGCUACGGUGAGAACCGGAUGCUGGACUAGAUUGGCCCUUUGGCCUGAUCCAGCUGAAGGGCCCUUUUCUUGGCCCAAAGUGAGUGGAGCAGAUGAUUAUUAUUUUUUUAUAAAGUAGGGUACAUUCCAGCCCCACAAAAGCCGGAGUUUUCUGCACACACUCUCCCCAUCUGUCCAACGAUCUAAGCCAGCCAGCCAGCGGCAAUGCCACAGUUGGAGGGCACAUUUCAGCCAGGCAAAAGCGGUCGGAGCAAGGCGGUGAGAGGGUGUGGCUUCAGGAGAGGCCUAAGGGCCGCAUUCAGCACCCAGGCUUGAGGUUCCCUGCAUCUGGCCUAAAAUGACAACUCUACCGACACAAACAACUUGGCAUUCCUAGCAUUUAGUAACAACUCUGGGGGAGCAACCAUCAAAUCUUGAAAUCUGGAUAAAUCACGUGUAGUACCUGAAAGUUCCAUGAGGUGGCAGGCUUAUGCUUUCUACAGGGGUCUUGACUCUGAGGAUGGACUGGGACUGCGCAUCUCAGAUUAAUCAGCAUUUUCAUUCAGAGGGUCCCCGGUUCAAGCCCUGGCAUCUCCAGCCCAUUGUACUGUGCUUCAAGAAAGCAGGCCGCUUGUGCACAUGAAAUCUUGAGGGCAGGUGUGUGGGAGACUCUCCUUUGUGGUUUUCGGCGGGAUCUCGUGGUUCAAGGGCAAGAGACUUGAAUGCUGGCUUCCUGUGUAGGGCCUGCCUACAAGGGUAAUGUGCUAAGAGAUGUUGCAAAAUCUCUGCCAGUGAUUGGCUGACUUGCCGUGAUGUCACAGAGUGGAGGUGCAGCCAGAAGGUCUCUGGCAGUGACUGGCUAAACUGUGCAGAUCCUACAGAGGGGCAGAACAUGGAAAAGAGUGGUGGUAGGGGGGGAAAAGAGAGAACUAGAUCACAAGAAGCAGUUGGGCCUCAGAAAAAAGGUCUGGAUGAGAAAUUGGUCCAGAAAGAAUGAGGCGGGCAAGAGAAGAGCCGGAGGAGAGAGGGAUCAAGGGGGAGAAGGGCCCCAUUUCCUGGACAGGCACUUUGGCUGGGAGGAGUGAAAAGGCAGCCAACUGUAAGUCAUCUAGCUGGUGAGAGGACCCUUCCGCUCUGGACUGUAGUCAAGACAGGCUGCUGAGGCUCCUUCAAGGGCAGCAAGAGGAGCACCGGAAGCUCUAUUGUCUGCUAGCUUUCUGUUUGCUUUGUCCUUCUGUUUUAAAGUCUAGAUUAUUUCUUUUGUAAUACUGAAUGUUUGCUAAAUUGUUUGGUUUUGUCCGUGUUGAAUGCAUUGGUUGUUUUGUAAACGGACUUCUUUCCUCG